rnacentral:rRNA from 1 species
GAUGAACGCUGGCGGCGUGCCUAAUACAUGCAAGUCGAGCGAAUGGAUUAAGAGCUUGCUCUUAUGAAGUUAGCGGCGGACGGGUGAGUAACACGUGGGUAACCUGCCCAUAAGACUGGGAUAACUCCGGGAAACCGGGGCUAAUACCGGAUAACAUUUUGAACCGCAUGGUUCGAAAUUGAAAGGCGGCUUCGGCUGUCACUUAUGGAUGGACCCGCGUCGCAUUAGCUAGUUGGUGAGGUAUCGGCUCACCAAGGCAACGAUGCGUAGCCGACCUGAGAGGGUGAUCGGCCACACUGGGACUGAAACACGACCCAAACUCCUACGGGAGGCAGCAGUAGGGAAUCUUCCGCAAUGGACGAAAGUCUGACGGAGCAACGCCGCGUGAGUGAUGAAGGCUUUCGGGUCGUAAAACUCUGUUGUUAGGGAAGAACAAGUGCUAGUUGAAUAAGCUGGCACCUUGACGGUACCUAACCAGAAAGCCACGGCUAACUACGUGCCAGCCGCCGCGGUAA